UAAUACAUGCAAGUCGAGCGGACAGAUGGGAGCUUGCUCCCUGAUGUUAGCGGCGGACGGGUGAGUAACACGUGGGUAACCUGCCUGUAAGACUGGGAUAACUCCGGGAAACCGGGGCUAAUACCGGAUGCUUGAUUGAACCGCAUGGUUCAAUUAUAAAAGGUGGCUUUUAGCUACCACUUACAGAUGGACCCGCGGCGCAUUAGCUAGUUGGUGAGGUAACGGCUCACCAAGGCAACGAUGCGUAGCCGACCUGAGAGGGUGAUCGGCCACACUGGGACUGAGACACGGCCCAGACUCCUACGGGAGGCAGCAGUAGGGAAUCUUCCGCAAUGGACGAAAGUCUGACGGAGCAACGCCGCGUGAGUGAUGAAGGUUUUCGGAUCGUAAAACUCUGUUGUUAGGGAAGAACAAGUACCGUUCGAAUAGGGCGGUACCUUGACGGUACCUAACCAGAAAGCCACGGCUAACUACGUGCCAGCAGCCGCGGUAAUACGUAGGUGGCAAGCGUUGUCCGGAAUUAUUGGGCGUAAAGCGCGCGCAGGCGGUUUCUUAAGUCUGAUGUGAAAGCCCCCGGCUCAACCGGGGAGGGUCAUUGGAAACUGGGGAACUUGAGUGCAGAAGAGGAGAGUGGAAUUCCACGUGUAGCGGUGAAAUGCGUAGAGAUGUGGAGGAACACCAGUGGCGAAGGCGACUCUCUGGUCUGUAACUGACGCUGAGGCGCGAAAGCGUGGGGAGCGAACAGGAUUAGAUACCCUGGUAGUCCACGCCGUAAACGAUGAGUGCUAAGUGUUAGAGGGUUUCCGCCCUUUAGUGCUGCAGCAAACGCAUUAAGCACUCCGCCUGGGGAGUACGGUCGCAAGACUGAAACUCAAAGGAAUUGACGGGGGCCCGCACAAGCGGUGGAGCAUGUGGUUUAAUUCGAAGCAACGCGAAGAACCUUACCAGGUCUUGACAUCCUCUGACAACCCUAGAGAUAGGGCUUCCCCUUCGGGGGCAGAGUGACAGGUGGUGCAUGGUUGUCGUCAGCUCGUGUCGUGAGAUGUUGGGUUAAGUCCCGCAACGAGCGCAACCCUUGAUCUUAGUUGCCAGCAUUCAGUUGGGCACUCUAAGGUGACUGCCGGUGACAAACCGGAGGAAGGUGGGGAUGACGUCAAAUCAUCAUGCCCCUUAUGACCUGGGCUACACACGUGCUACAAUGGGCAGAACAAAGGGCAGCGAAGCCGCGAGGCUAAGCCAAUCCCACAAAUCUGUUCUCAGUUCGGAUCGCAGUCUGCAACUCGACUGCGUGAAGCUGGAAUCGCUAGUA
rnacentral:rRNA from 1 species